rnacentral:rRNA from 1 species
AGAGUGAACGCUGGCGGUAGGCCUAACACAUGCAAGUCGAACGGCAGCACAGAGGAGCUUGCUCCUUGGGUGGCGAGUGGCGGACGGGUGAGGAAUACAUCGGAAUCUACCCUUUCGUGGGGGAUAACGUAGGGAAACUUACGCUAAUACCGCAUACGACCUUCGGGUGAAAGUAGGGGAUCGCAAGACCUUACGCGAUUGGAUGAGCCGAUGUCGGAUUAGCUUAUUGGCGGGGUAAUGGCCCACCAAGGCGACGAUCCGUAGCUGGUCUGAGAGGAUGAUCAGCCACACUGGAACUGAGACACGGGUCCAGACUCCUACGGGAGGCAGCAGUGGGGAAUAUUGGACAAUGGGCGCAAGCCUGAUCCAGCCAUACCGCGUGGGUGAAGAAGGCCUUCGGGUUGUAAACCACUGUCGCGAGGGACGAAAAAAUGACGGUACCUCGAAAGGAAGCACCGGCUAACUCUGCGCCAGCAGCCGCGGU